GGGCCCAACUUAGAAGUGGAACAUCUGCUUUUCAUGCAGAAGGCUCCGGGUUCAAUCCCUGGCAUCUCCA